GUGCUGUGCAGCCCACUGCAGUGAGUUUCUGGGCCACGCCUAUCACUUGUCAGUCACUGGGGAGCAGCAGAGUACUUCCUGGGAGACACAGGACUACAGUCAACUUUAGCUCAAGGAACCUCCCCCUCACUCCCCCUACAGCCUUGCUGAACCUUCCUCGACUUCAUGUCUAGAAUGUUCCCACUGCCCACCUUCCCUCCCCUUCACCUGGUGUCAGAUGUGCUGUGGUGGGGCACGUCUUCCAACCCUCAGAGGCUCCCCAGCCCCUUUUCUCUCACAGACACUUCUCCCGUUCAAGUCCUCACCCAGUUCACCCAACCAAGUGUCUGCUUCACAGAAGAUCUAGGCCAACACAACCAGCACUUUGCCCUCUAACAAUUCUCUGAGGUUCCCAAACGAGAUCCCACUUACAUAUGAGCGUAUGAAGAGGAAGAAAAUUCCAUAGAUGAACAGUACGAAGAGAAAAACGAACAGCAUCCCAUUUAGCAUGGUGAAAUCCCACUGAGGAAACAGAACACAAAAACAGCUGACUUAUCAUCUGGAAGGAAUUUCAGGAGGUUUAGAGAUGCACCUUAUGCCCCACAGAUAGAAAUUGGCCCAUUUGCUAAUAAUCUACCCUGGACAAUUCUGAGAACCACAGACAUCCAUUUGCCCCUAUCACUGAAAAACACUACAUUAAAAAGUGUGGUGUUGACUGGAAUUUGCUUCAUGAGGGAGAAGAAGGUAGGAGUAUGGAUGAAAUAACAAGAGCCGUGGAUACAUGAGGGCUCAUUAUACUAUUCUAUUUUUGUAUUUAUAGGAAUAGAAUGUACAUUUGUAUGUACAGUAUGGUCAUAUUUCCGAAAGCAUGUGCAUAAAAUACAGCAAUGAACUGGGCGCCUUUCCAUGUUUGUAUGCAUAUAUUUUAAUAAAAAUAUAUACACUAGGCUUUCAAAAAUUAUUGCUGAUUCUUUUGUAAUUUUGAAAUUUAUUAAUAUGCUUUUUGGUUUUGCCUUCAUAAAUCAGGGAUGAAAACAGCCUGGGGAAGCUGAGGAAUUUUUUUAAACAAAGGGGAAUAUUCAUCUUCUGACCUGAACAGAAUGAUAUUAUACAGCAAAAGAAGACCCUUGAAUCCAUGAUACUUUCUUGAAAGUCAGAAGCCAGAAGGCGAAGAAGCUACAGAGGUGAGGCCCACAGGACAGCAGUGAGCAGGAAGGAGGAGAGAUAAGAAUGGGUCAGGAAGGGCCAAAGGAACACAUCUACACACUCCCUUGUGACAGAAAUCUUUUUCGGUGAUACAUACUUUUGUUUGAAGAGCAAAUAAAGUGAGUGAUAACGUCA